rnacentral:rRNA from 1 species
CUGCCAGACUCCUACGGGAGGCAGCAGUGAGGAAUAUUGGUCAAUGGGCGCGAGCCUGAACCAGCCAAGUCGCGUGAGGGAGGACGGCCCUACGGGUUGUAAACCUCUUUUGCCGGGGAGCAACGGGCGUCACGUGUGGCGCCACUGAGAGUACCCGGAGAAAAAGCAUCGGCUAACUCCGUGCCAGCAGCCGCGGUAAUACGGAGGAUGCGAGCGUUAUCCGGAUUUAUUGGGUUUAAAGGGUGCGCAGGCGGAAUGUCAAGUCAGCGGUAAAAUUUCGGGGCUCAACCCCGUCGUGCCGUUGAAACUGGCGUUCUUGAGUGAGCGAGAAGUAUGCGGAAUGCGUGGUGUAGCGGUGAAAUGCAUAGAUAUCACGCAGAACUCCGAUUGCGAAGGCAGCAUACCGGCGCUCAACUGACGCUCAUGCACGAAAGCGUGGGUAUCGAACAGGAUUAGAUACCCGAGUA